CCGGAGUUUACAUGUAGAAACACACAGAGGGCUGUGUGAGUUUGGAAAACUCGAUGAAUGAGAAGAUCAGUGACACAGUGACAUCACCUGAUGUACGAGGCCGGGGGCAGCUCCUCUCACUACAUGAGGCAGAAAACCUUUGUUAACAUUUCAUUCUUCUCUUCCCCCAUGACAGCAAUGAACUGCUAUGUCAGUGAAACCCUCUGGAUUGUGGAAAAACUUGCGUUGUCCCCACUUUUACCCUCCAUUUUCUCCAUACACAGCAGCACGGCUAAAGGUGGGGUUGGUUAAAUGCUGCUUUACAGCUCUUAUCAUGCUGGGAUGGAUCCUUUUUGAUCUGAUGUGUUUCCAACUCGAAUUUUAACAAACAUUUCCAAUUUAAAAGAUAAACUGAUUUUUGUUUCAUUGAGGUACUGUAAAGCUCUAUCUACCAACGAAAUAAAAAGAAGUGUAAUAACUUUAUGAGGAUCAACUUUUUUGCUAAUGUUGCUAACGCAGCGUAGCUAAGGUUUCAUCCAUCUAUCAUGCUAGCAUGUGGCUUAUGCCAACUCCAUCAAUCACCCUGGCACUAUGCUAGCACAUGGGUAAUGAAUUUAUCAUUAAUCUCCUCAGUGCUGCCUUUCCACAUGAUUUGAGGGCUUCACCAUGAUUUCUAGCACUAAUUUGGUGGUAAUGAACCCACUGACGCACAGUGCUUGAUGAAUACAUUGAUAAAUCACCUUCUGAUGGGUUUUGGACAGGCUACAUCUGAUCACAUUAGAUGAUCUCCAGCCCUCAUUAUGUUAAACAUGCGUGUAGAAGCUGUGUAAAGACUGGCUGAUGAUUUAGAUAUGGUGAUUAAAUACUUUGGACUGCCAUUUGUCAGCACUUCUUGUGUCUUCAGCCUUUUUAAUGCUAUAUUUAAUUUUAUUCAUUUU